UACGGCUUUAUCAAAUUGAAGCACUUAUUCUCGUACGAUUACCGAAGUUAAGCAACGUUGAGCCUGCUCACUACAUCGAUGGGUGACCGCUUGGGAAUAUCAAGGGCUGUAAG